UACGUAGGAUGCAAGCGUUGUCCGGAAUUAUUGGGCGUAAAGAGCUCGUAGGCGGUUUGUCGCGUCUGCUGUGAAAACGCGAGGCUCAACCUCGCGCCUGCAGUGGGUACGGGCAGACUAGAGUGCGGUAGGGGAGAUUGGAAUUCCUGGUGUAGCGGUGGAAUGCGCAGAUAUCAGGAGGAACACCGAUGGCGAAGGCAGAUCUCUGGGCCGUAACUGACGCUGAGGAGCGAAAGCGUGGGGAGCGAACAGG
rnacentral:rRNA from 1 species